AAUCCAAUUGAUCCAAAAAGUGCUAUUCUUCCCGAAAGGUUGUAAUAAGCAACAAGUCGUGACUGUAACAGAUAAUUCUUUGUGUUAUUUUAAAGUGAAGAUAAAGUGUGUUAAUCAAUAAAGUUUAUAUCGUUUGGAGUUUAUUACUGUUGUUUAAAAGCACGCUUGGAGUUAGAUUGACAAUACAUCCUAUUCAAAUUCACCGACAACCCCAACAAAAUGAAAAUCAAAAUAAUUAAGAAGAAAAUUAUUAUUUUUGAAAAAAUUAGAGUACUUAAAGCAUGAUUACGCUUGUAUAUUUUUGCAUGGAAUAAUAAAAUAGGACUUUGGUUUUAUUUUGUUGGUUUUCUUAACUAAAGUAAUUAUUAAAAGAGACUACCGGGCGAAUAUGUAUGCUGGUGCUAGAGGUGAAAUUCUUAGUCCAUCAGCAGAUAAACUACUGCGAAAGCAUUUGCCAAGAAUGUUUUCAUUAAUCAAGAACGAAAGUCAGAGGAUCGAAGACGAUCACAUAUCCUCCUAGUUCUGACCAUAAACUAUGCCAACUGACAGUUAGUAAAGAUGAAUUAUUUCUUCUUACUAGAAGUCACAGGGAAACCAAAGUCUUUGGGUUCCGGGGAAAGUAUGGUUGCAAAGCCGAAACUUAAAGAAAUUAAAGAAAGGGCACCACAAGGAGUGGAGCCUGUGGCAUAAUUUGACUCAACACGGGAAAUCUCACCCGGUCCGGACACUGUGAGGAUUGACAGAUUGAUAGCUCUUUCUUGAUUCGGUGGGUGGUGGUGCAUGGCCGUUCUUAGUUGGUGGAGCGAUUUGUCAGGUUAAUUCCGAUAACGAACGAGACUCUGACUUAUUAAAUAAUGAAUUUAUAUUCAAUUGUAAAUUCUCACUUCUUAGAAGAAUAAAUAGAGUUUAGUUAUAUGAAAUAUACCAAUAACAGGUCUGUAAUGCCCUUAGAUGUCCGGGGCCGCUCGCGCGCUACAAUUGCAGUACUAACAAGUUUUCCUAACUAGAAAUAGUCGGGUAAUUUCUUGAAACACUGUCGUAUCAGGGAUUGUGAAUUGAAAUUAUUUCACAUGAACGAGGAAUUCCUAGUAAGCGCAAGUCACUAGCUUGCGCUGAUUACGUCCCUGCCCUUUGUACACACCGCCCGUCGCUACUACCGAUUGAUAAAAUAAGCCAAAAAGAGAAGACAGGUCUGAUAUGAUUGGACUAAAAAUACAAAAAAUCAAUAAUUUAAGAGCAAUUUCAGCACAUUCAUAUCGU
rnacentral:rRNA from 1 species